rnacentral:rRNA from 1 species
AGCGAACGCUGGCGGCAUGCUUAACACAUGCAAGUCGAGGGGCAGCGGGGACAGCAAUGUCUGCCGGCGACCGGCAAACGGGUGCGGAACACGUACACAACCUUCCUUUUGGUGGGGAUAGCCCAGAGAAAUUUGGAUUAAUACCCCGUAGGAUAACGAUGAGGCAUCUUAUUGUUAUUAAAGAUUUAUUGCCAGGAGAUGGGUGUGCGUCUGAUUAGGUAGUUGGUAGGGGAACGGCCCGACCAAGCCUGCGAUCAGUAACUGGUGUGAGAGCACGACCAGUCACACGGGCACUGAGACACGGGCCCGACUCCUACGGGAGGCAGCAGUAAGGAAUAUU